rnacentral:rRNA from 1 species
AUUGAACGCUGGCGGCAGGCCUAACACAUGCAAGUCGAGCGAGCGGCGGACGGGUGAGUAAUGUCUGGGGACUGCCCGAUAGAGGGGGAUAACUACUGGAAACGGUGGCUAAUACCGCAUACUAUCGGAUAACCCAUAUGGGAUUAGCUAGUAGGUGGGGUAAAGGCUCACCUAGGCGACGAUCUCUAGCUGGUCUGAGAGGAUGAUCAGUCCCAGUGUGGCGUAGACCAGGCCCAGACCCCUACGGCGGCAGCAGUGGGGAAUAUUGCGCUAAGGGCGCAAGCCUGAAGCAGCGCUGCCGCGUGUAUGAAGAAGGCCUUAGGGUUGUAAAGUACUUUCAGCGGUGAGGCGUUCCCCGCAGAAGAAGCACCGGCUAACUCCGUGCCAGCAGCCGCGGUAAUAC